AAAAAGUCAAGUGGAGCCGGGGGGAAUGAGAGUCAGUGGGCAAUGAGGGUCAGUUCAAAAAGAGAUGAACCUUAAGGUUUACGGAAUACGGCUAUGUAGCAUAGGGCUUAGCUGGGCACCCCUCCCGCACUCCCCAACACGCCGACCCGCUAGUGACGCUCACGACACCGGGAGCAACACACGUGUUAAAGGAGAGGAGCCGUUGUAAAAUUUCCGAAAUUUCGACCGAAAACAUGCCAAGGAACUGGACAAGGAAGACCACCAAAGCGAGUUGGACUGCGAGGUGACUUGCAGGCAGCUGCUGUACGUAUUACGCAAAGGAAAAAGAACACAACACAUUCUUACUGCCACACCUCUGAAAACCAUGGUUGAAGAAAAAGCUAA